rnacentral:siRNA from 1 species
UGAAGGUUUUUCAGGUUGGUU